rnacentral:tRNA from 1 species
GGGCUCUUAGCUCAGCUGGUAGAGCAGCGGACUCUUAAUCCGUUGGUCGUAGGUUCGAAUCCUACAGGGCCCA